GAUGAACGCUGGCGGUAUGCUUAACACAUGCAAGUCGAACGGUACCUUCGGGUCUAGUGGCGGACGGGUGAGUCACGCGUGAGAAUCUAUCUUCAGGUCGGGGACAACUGUUAGAAAUGACUGCUAAUACCGGAUGUGCCGAAAGGUAAAAGAUUUAUUGCCUGAAAAAGAGCUCGCGUCAGAUUAGCGAGUAGGUGGUGUAAGAGACUCCCUAGGCUUCGCUCUGUAGCUGGUCUGAGAGGACGAUCAGCCACACUGGAACUGAGACACAGUCCAGAAUCCUACGGGAUGCAGCAGUGGGUAAUUUUGCGCAAUGGGCGAAGGCCUGACGGAGCAAUACCGCGUGAGGGACGAAGGCUGUUGGGUAGUAAACCUCUUUUCUCAAGGAAGAUUCAGACGGUACUUGAGGAAUAAGCAACGGCUAACUCUGUG
rnacentral:rRNA from 1 species